rnacentral:RNase_P_RNA from 1 species
AGUAAGCCAGACGGCCGCGGCGGGCCGAAAGGUCCGGUGAGGAAAGUCCGGGCUCCGUAGGGCAGGGUGCCGGGUAACUCCCGGUGGAGGCGACUCUAAGGAUAGUGCAACAGAAAUAAACCGCCCGGCACAUAUGAUUACCGUUGAGUCUCAUCCUCUACGGUAAUCAUAUGUGCCGGGUAAGGAUGGAAAGGCGAGGUAAGAGCUCACCAGCGGCCGGGAGACCGGCCGGCUAUGUAAACCCCACCUGGUGCAACACUAAGCAAUGCGGUUCUGCCGCGCGUUUGCCCGACGUUAUUUGCUGACGUGGCUUGAGGCGGUUAGAAAUAUCCGCCCUAGAUAGAUGGCUGUCUAAUACAGAACCCGGCUUACAGACUUACUCAU